rnacentral:rRNA from 1 species
CAACUUUCAACAACGGAUCUCUUGGCUCUUGCAUCGAUGAAGAACGCAGCGAAAUGCGAUAAGUAAUGUGAAUUGCAGAAUUCAGUGAAUCAUCGAAUCUUUGAACGCACCUUGCGCCCCUUGGUAUUCCGAGGGGCAUGCCUGUUUGAGUGUCAUGUAAUUCUCAAU